rnacentral:lncRNA from 1 species
AUAAAAAGUUUUUGAGAUAAAAUUAGAUACUCUGCUUUGGUCAGUUUUAU